UUUGGGAGGUCGGGCCAUCAGUUUCGGCGUUUUUUCCAGAGAGGCAGGCUCACAGCGAUAUCGCGAGAGACGGGAAUUGCUCUGUCACGCAAGCUGGAGUGCAGUGGUGCCAUCUCGGCUCACUGUGACCUCUGCCUCCUGGGCUCAAGCCAUCCUCCCACCUCAGCCCUUCAAGUAGCUGGGAUUACAGGUCACCAUCCUCUCACUCGCCUCUGACUUUUCGCACAGGAGAGAGCUGGUCGAAUAGUACAAUUCCCCGAUGUGAAUGGGGAGAAGCUGGGGAAAGGAAGAAUGAUCUUCAGGCAGUAAGGAUGUUUAAUAAAGUUUAAGUGCUUAAUAAAAGAAGUGGUGGAAGACCUCAAUUCAUCUGAGAGCAGAAUCUGCCUAGAAGAGUUGGAACUUCUCCACCCUGCUCCAUCCUCUGUACCUGACCUGUGUGUUCUGGGCUCCCCACGGCCAAGGAGCAUCAAUGGGCUAACAGAGUGUAAUGGGCUGAAUUGUGUUGGCCCCAAACUCAAAUUUUGAAGUCCCACCCCUCCCUCAUUCUAUGGCCUUGUUUGGAAAUGGGGUUGUUGCGAUGUAAUUAGUUGAGAUAAGGUCUUAUUAUAUUUGGGUAGGCCCCUACUCCAGUAUGAUUGGUGUCCUUAUAAAAAGGAGAAAUUGGACACAGACACCCUACCAAGAAGAACACUAUGUGAAGAUGAAGGCAGAGAUCAGGGUGAUGCCUCUACUUGCUGAGAAACUCCUACAGUUGCCAGCCCACCACUAGAAGCAAAGGAAGAAGCACAGCCCUCAGAAGGAACCAACCCUGCUAAUGCCUUGGUCUUGGACUUGCAGCCUCCAGAACAGCGAGCCAAUACAUUCCUGUGGUUUAAGCCACUGACUGUGGCACUUUAUUACAGCAGCACUAGGAAACUCAUACAGGAGGUGACAGUGCUCAGAUGAAACAGGACCUUCCACUUCCAUGGCAAAGCCCUCAUCUUUCGUGCCCAUGCGCCAUUUGAUCUGCACACAAAUCACUGAGCAGGUUCCUCAGCUAUUAUUAUCCCCACCUUUCAGAUGGAAAGAACUGAAGCUCAAGAGGGCCAAAGAAAUUUGGCUAUGGCUUUCUUUAUUUUCUUUUUCAUGGGCAGAAGUAGAUUUCAGUUUUGGUCCCUUUCCACUACCAUAUCAGGUUGCCUUAAGGCAACUUUGAAAAGUCUAAAAUAUUAAACAGUUUGUGAAGUUAUUAUCAUUAUUCAUAAAGGACAGCGCGAGGUUAGUCUUACCCUAGAGAGCCCCAUUGUUGGCCCAAAGCAUCUUGCCAGGAGCCCUAUAGGACCAUGUUUUCAAGGCCCCCAAAGAGCACAGGGCUAUUGGUCCAUCCCAGCUCCUGGAAUGGCUCAUUGUACCCACCCUGCCUCCAGCUGAGGAGCCAGGGAGAAGCACUGACCCCUGAUCUUGCUAUCCCUUCCAUUACACUCUUGCCAGAGGAGCUUUUUUCAGGGGUGGCCGCUUCCCUCUCCUCAAGAGAAUUCUGGGGACCAACCAGCUCAGGCCUGCUGUUGGCCUCAGGGUCACAUCUCACCCAGACACCCCCACCAUUCCCUCAGGUCUAGGGAUGCUGCUCCCCUACCAUGGGAUCUUCUUUUUAUUUUUAUUUAUUUAUAUUUUCCUUAUGCCUAGUGUAAAGGGAUUUCUUUUCUUUUUUGUUUUUGUUUUUUUUUUGAGAUGGAGUCUUGCUCUGUCACCCAGGCUGGAGUGCAGUGCAGUGGCGCUAUCUCGGCUCACUGCAACCUCCACCUCCUGGGUUCAAGUGAUUCUCCUGCCUCAGCCUCCCAGGAGCUGGGAUUACAGGUGUGCCACCACAUUUGGCUAAUUUUUUUACUUUUAGUAGAGAUGGGGUUUCACCAUGUUGGCCAGGCUAGUCUCGAUCUCCUGACCUCAGGUGAUCCACCCGCCUCAGCCUCCCAGAAUGCUGGGAUUACAGGCAUGAGCCACCGCUCCCAGCCAGGAUCUUCUUUUUAAAGCUAUCACCACCCACUCUCAUUCCCCAGGACUCUCCUCACCCCUCCGGCUGCAAAGGCAGCUGGUGUCCCUACUGGCUCCUUCCUUUCUGCCCCUAAAGACAGGCACACAGGUGAUUUUCCUUUUAAGUGUUUUUCUGUGGAUUACUGCGGGGAAAUUGACAGGGGCUACAGGGGCUGAUAAAAGGAAUAAUCUUUGAUAUUCUUUCAGUUGGGUCGCUGAUUUUCUUGCUGGGCUGACAAGAGCAAUCUUCCCUACUUGGAAUCUUGGUUUUAUUCCUUAGCAUGGGCCUUAUCAAACCUACUUUUUAAUGAAGGGAGAAUGAAGAAGCCAUUGAAGCAGACCUCUAGCUGCCAGUCAGGUCUGCUCUGAAGGCUGCCUAUCUGCGGGGACAUGUGACUUCUGGGGCUUUCCAGAUUAAGUAAUGCUCACCCCACAUGUCUGAAAUUCUCCAAACACUAUUCCGGCCCUGCUGUGAUUCUUAGAGCAGAGGUUCUUUGCCUUUUUAGUGUAAUGGAUCCCUCAGCAACUUGGUGAGCCCUUCUCAGAAUAAAGUUUCUAAUGCAGAAAGUAAAACACAUGGGAUAAUAAGGGAAGUCAUGUCCUUUGAAAUCCUUAUCAAAAAUAUUUUUCAAAUUUUGUGAUAUAAUAAGUUUGGUUGCUAUUAUAUAGCAUAAUAUAACUUCAUAUCUAAUAGCUAUUGUUAUUUUGAAGUAGUGGUGAAUAUAUAUGCUAUUUUGAGAUGUCUAAAACAACUGUAAUGUGUUACAAAAAUAUCCAUGAUUUCUAUCGGUGACAAAGUCAAAAGUAUCGUGAAUACGUCUGUGAUUUGCAAGCUACAUCCAAAAUGGAAGGAAAUCCUAAUGUUUGGUUAGUGAUUGAUAAAAAUAAAGAUGUGGGCGGGCGCGGUGGCUCACGCCUGUAAUCCCAGCACUUUGGGAAGCCAAGGCGGGCAGAUCAUGAAGUCAGGAGAUCAAGAUCAUCCUGGCCAGCAUGGUGAAACGCCGUCUCUACUAAAAAUAAAAAAAUUAGCUGGGCAUGGUGGCGUGUGUCUGUAGUCCCAGCUACUUGGGAGGCUGAGACAGGAGAAUCACUUGAACCCAGGAGGCG
rnacentral:lncRNA from 10 species